AACGAACGCUGGCGGCAGGCUUAACACAUGCAAGUCGAACGCCCCGCAAGGGGAGUGGCAGACGGGUGAGUAACACGUGGGAACAUGCCCAUAGGUACGGAAUAUUCUCGGGAAACUGGGAGCAAUACCGUAUGUGCCCGAAAGGGGAAAGAUUUAUCGCCUUUGGAUUGGCCCGCGUUGGAUUAGCUAGUUGGUGGGGUAAAAGCCUACCAAGGCGACGAUCCAUAGCUGGUCUGAGAGGACGACCAGCCACACUGGGACUGAGACACGGCCCAGACUCCUACGGGAGGCAGCAGUGGGGAAUCUUGGACAAUGGGCGCAAGCCUGAUCCAGCCAUGCCGCGUGAGUGAUGAAGGCCCUAGGGUUGUAAAACUCUUUCGUGGGGGACGAUAAUGACGGUACCCCAAGAAGAAGCUCCGGCUAACUCCGUGCCAGCCGCCGCAGUAAUAC
rnacentral:rRNA from 1 species